ACUGGAGUCAGUUGGCUACUGUGAGAAAAAGAAAGAGUCAGUGCCUGGAGGAGCUGCCCUCAGGAAACACCAGGGAGGUACGAGACUCUAGCACUAAGGAGACAACAGUGUGGAACCCCUGUAACCUGAUGACAACUUAGAUGUUAACUUUGCAAGGUCCUUGAUAGUGUGAAUCAUUCUUGGCUCAUAUAUUGUCAAUAUUUCAAGCCUGAAAAGUACUGUCUCCUGAGUUCAAAAGAACAUCAGAUGCACUCAGCACAUUUCAGAAAGCAUUGAGUCUACCUCAGGAGAUGUUAGCUGGGGUCCUGGAGACAGGAGAGCUGCGUCAGCAGGGCACGGUGCCCAGACUGAUUAGUUCUGCCAUGUUGAUGCAGCUAUGCUGCUUCCUGUUCCACAGCGAGGACAUUUGGAGACAUCUGAGAUAUCGUUGCCUUGCAUAGACAUAAGGACAAACAGGCUGCUACUAAAAAAUGCAAAUGUGCACAGCGCGGAAAAUAAAGUUAUACAUAUCCCAGCUUUACAUUUGCACGCACACUGCUUCUGUUUCAGAGGAGAAAGGGAGAGUCAGAAAUGGCUGUUGCACCCAGUUCAGCUUGCCUGCAUCACUGAAAUUAAUAUUUAAAAAAAAUGGUUUUUAUAUACCAUCAUAUGGCCAUUUGCUUUAUCUGCCAGUUUCUCACAUUGAUGCUUGUCAGUGCUCAUCUUCCUACCUAGAUUUUAGACCACAAGGAAAUGGAAGCUCAUGUCUGAAGAGGGAAGCUCAUUUUCCAUUCUGCAAAGCCUUAAAGUACCCUUAAGUACAGAAACUAUAAUUCUGGUUGAAGAUACUGAGAACUCUGGCUGAAAUUUGUCCCCCUGACUACACUGGCCCAUCAAGCCAGGAGAUAAGAACCAGUCUGUCUGACCCAGAUGAAGACAAUGUGCCAGUAGAUUUAAAUGCUUAGUGUGCAGGUUUGCUACAGCUGUGCUCUGUUGCAGUCCUGGCUGGACUGCAGGACACUUCUUUGUAGUACUAAAACCCUGAGCUUUCAGUGUAUGCCUUGGACUUUUUCAGUGGCUGUCGUUUGACUGAGAUGUAAACAAUUGUGGUGUUACAUUUUAUUUGAAUGGAAUAAACAAUCGGCAGAUGUAAUCUGAAGGGACGGAAAAAAUGUUUAAACUCCUGCUGUCUCUGGUGUCAAACCUUUAGCGCAUUAAUUCAAAUCCAUUGUGGCUUCUACCAAAGACUUAAUUUGUACCUUAUCUGGUUUUUAUAAUUUAAGAUGGUCACUGGGUAAUUUCUUAUGGUCAUUUCACUGCAGUUUAAAAGGUUUCUGUAGAACUUGAGAGUAUUUUUCUGCCCUCUUUUGUCUAGAAUUCAGACACAAUGCUCGGGCAUUUGUCACAAGUAAUGGAACUGAAACCAUCUGCACUGGGAUGUAGGGGAAGGAGGGGUA